rnacentral:rRNA from 1 species
GGAUUUAUUGGGCGUAAAGGGCGCGUAGGCGGAAAUGUAAGUCAGAUGUGAAAUCCCAGAGCUCAACUCUGGAACAGCAUUUGAAACUACAUUCCUUGAGGGUAGGCGGAGAAAAUGGAAUUCCACAUGUAGCGGUGAAAUGCGUAGAUAUGUGGCAGAACAUCAGUGGCGAAGGCGAUUUUCUAGCUUAUUCCUGACGCUGAGGCGCGAAAGUAAGGGGAUCAAACAGGAUUAGAUACCCUGGUAGUCCUUACUGUAAACGAUGUAUACUUGAUGUAACCGGACUCAACCCUGGUUGUGUCGAAGCUAACGCGAUAAGUAUACCGCCUGGGGAGUACGCUCGCAAGGGUGAAACUCAAAAGAAUUGACGGGGACCCGCACAAGCAGUGGAGCAUGUGGUUUAAUUCGAUGCAACGCGAAGAACCUUACCCAGACUUGACAUGCAGUGGACAGUCCUAGAAAUAGGAUCUUCCUUCGGGACCGCUGCACAGGUGCUGCAUGGCUGUCGUCAGCUCGUGCCGUGAGGUGUUUGGUUAAGUCCAGCAACGAGCGCAACCCUUAUCGUUAGUUGCCAGCACGUAAUGGUGGGAACUCUAACGAGACUGCCUGGGUUAACCAGGAGGAAGGUGAGGAUGACGUCAAGUCCGCAUGGCCCUUAUGUCUGGGGCUACACACGUGCUACAAUGGUCGGUACAAAAGGCAGCGAAGCCGCGAGGUGAAGCAAAUCCCAAAAACCGAUCCCAGUUCAGAUUGUAGUCUGCAACUCGACUACAUGAAGACGGAAUUGCUAGUAAUGGCGAGUCAGCAACAUCGCCGUGAUACGUUC